UGGACCAAUGCUGCCAUGUUGUUCAGUGUAACCAAAUUCUUUCCAUAACAAAUUCUGGGACGACAGAUGAGAAAACACUAGCGCUAAAAUCUUUAAAGUGUACAAUUUUGAUAUGUGUGUGCGUGUAUUUGUGUAUUGUUAUGUGUUCAUAUUGCAGUUCUCUUUACUGUCUGAACUUCAGAUGAUGCUGUGCGUCAACCUACGGUGAGCGUCUACUCCAGCACCAAAUCUCAAAAAGAGAACACCUUUCUGUGCCAUGCCAGUAAUAUGUUCCCAGACUUGGUCAGAUUCCACUGGAAAGUGUUCAAAGCUGGAAAGUGGGAAAACGUGGUGAAGAAUGACCGCGAGGUGCUGGAGACCAGCUUCUCAGACAAGACAAACACCAGCAUCAUGAUUAUUGACAAGCAGAAGGCCGGUGGCAACCGAUACGCCUGCUCCUACACACACGAAGCCCUCAGGGAAGGAAAAGAGAGCAAGCCUCUGGAGAUAGAGGGAAAGAAAGGAGGACAAACUGAGCCGGUGACAAAACCUCAAGCAAAAACCUUCAAUGUCACAGUCUGCUCAACACCCAACGACACAGCUAUCUCCACGUUACACCAACUAGAUGAGUACUUUGGAGCCGCACGCAGUCUGUAUCUGGCAACAUGGGUGUACACCCUUAUGAUUUUUAAAAGCACGGUGUACUUCUGCGCCAUCUCCUACUUCAUAUGCACAAAGAACAUGAGAAGCAAGCGCUCCCUCAACCGUAGAGCUCCCUGAUACAGCGUGCUGUGGAGCUGAGUGAUGUGCUUAUUCUACAUGCCAUUCUUUGUGACGCUUGUGCCAGGUCAAACUUGGGCGCCGAUCUUUAUCUGAUUCUCCCUUUUCAGCAAAUACUAUUUUCAAAAUGUCUCAAUACAUAUCAGUAUCUAUGCACAUUAUUUCCUCUUUAUUUUCCACCUAUGUUUUUUUUUUUUUUUGUUAUGCUUGAUUACUUUGUUAUGUUUUAAGAUGC
ensembl:lncRNA